UGCUUAAGUUUUUCUAUGUGCCACUAGCUUUAGAAUCGCUGUUAGCAGUCCAUGGUUAUAAAGUCAAAGUUAUAUACUGUAUUUGAGGUCUCUAACAAAAGAAUUAAUUAAAGGAAAGAUAAUUUGGAAAAUAUGAAUAAUCGCAACGUGGAGAUAAAAGGAAAGCUUCAUGAUAUUGAUUAUGCUAUUUCAAAAGCCAAAGAGUUGAGUGGUUCCAAUGAAGCAAUUAUAAUAAAACAACAUGAUACUUUCUUUAACGCAAUAGAGGGACGAUUAAAGAUACGAAAAUUCGAUGAUAACGCUGCAGAGUACAUUUUUUACAAACGACCUAAUGUAUUAGGCCCUAAAUUAUGUAAUUAUAAUAAAAUAGCACUAAACUCAGAUGUUUCUGAAUUACUUAUGAAUAUUUUAUCGGAAUCCAUGGGUGUAGUAGGAGUUGUUAAGAAGAUUAGGCGGUUAUUUAUUGUUGGACAAACUCGAAUACAUGUCGACCAAGUUGAUGGUUUGGGCAAUUUUAUAGAACUUGAGGUAGUCUUGCAAGAAGAUCAAGAUAUAGAAACUGGACAAAAAAUCGCUAAUGAUCUGAUGCAAGCAUUAUCCAUAACAAAUGAUGAUUUGGUCGCCGAAGCCUACAUAGAUUUACUUAAAAAAGUAGAUAUAUAAGUAUAAGACGAUUCUUCUAACGAGAUCAAAGGCUGAGCAUCCAUGUCCUUGUCCUCAGAAGGUUGGAACUCGAAGAUGUUAUGGAAAGGCAACCACUAUAUUUUGGAGCUCGAUUAUCUUUAGAUGAAAGUUUAUUAAUCACGAUGGCUUUCAUUAUUCGGUGGGAAUUAGAAGAGAAAUCAAUUGAGCAUCUCUUACGUCUCAGUCCUCCAGAGAAACAUCAGAAUCUGAUGAAGAAGAAAAACCGAAUAUAAAACGCAAAAGUAAAAAGAGAAAGAGCAAAGUUUCAAAGAAAAAGUAUAUGAAACGCGUAAGUACUUUCGAUUACAAUCAAGUGUAUCCCAGGGUUUAUAAAUUUUACCAUUCUUUUUUGUUCUAAAGCCGAUAUUCAUAGUUGUAUCCUAUAUUUAAGACUUUCUUAGGUUUAUCUUUACUUCAUAAGCACUAAAAUACAGACCAUGUUGCAUCUGAAGAUGAACUUAAGAUGGUCUUAAAUAUAAGGUCAGACUAGAAAUACCCGCCUAAUAACGUUUUUGAUUUAGCGACGCAGGUCAAAUCUGAGCCAAGCAAUCAGUUCUUAAUUUUCAUCCAAUAUCAAUGAGAAACUCUAAUUGGUUUGAUCUGACAUUCAACCUGGGUCGCUGAAUCAAAAACGCUAUUAAUUUGUUGUACAUUUUUCUUUGUAGAAUUCAUCACAAUCAAUUGGAAGCAGUAAUGAGUCCGAAGUAAAUACUUCUUCAGAGAAUGAAGAUCUUCAUUUCCAAAACAUGCAGUUGAAGAAAAAAAUUAAAUCUCUAACGGCUGAAGUAGAGACAUACAAAGCAAUGAAAUCUAUGAUUGCAGAAUUUACUUCUUUGCCACGUCAUGUAAAAAAAAUACAGGAAAAGCUUAAAGAAUGCCUUAAAGACAAUCCAAAAUCUAUUGCAAAAACAAUUCCCACUUCGGUACCAAAUACAAGUUUUACUAACCCUAGUUCUAGGUGAAAUGAUCCUGCUUCUAGAUGGGAUGACGAUGACUUUGCGAAUAGAUUAACACCUGUGCCUAGUACAUCCACUGUAGAUCUUGAUAUCGAUGUCUCCAGUGCACCAAAGCAGGAACAUUUGAAAGACAUCUCUAACAUUUCAAUAGCUAAGUGUUAUACAGAUUUACCUGCCAAUGACAACACAUCUCCCUCCACAGGAGAGAUAGUACGUUUCGGAUCUAGAAGUGUCCCAAAGUCAAUGAUAGAUAAACUGAGAUAUGGAAAAAUAGGCUGACAGAAGCUGUUUUUACAUCUGAAGAAAUGACACUAAGCACUGUCAGAGGUAGUAAAACAAAUGCUCACAAGGCCGUGCUUCAAAAGAAAACUUUGGAUUAAAGCCUUGUGCAAGCUAUUAUAGAGUAUUGUGCUACAUCCUUUAAUAAAUCAACCUCAGAAGUGAGUUCUGAGGUGAUAAAAUCAAUAG